CGGAGACGGGAGAAAGCGAAGGCGGCAGGCGGGCCUGCACGGCGGGAGUCCGCGCCCCCAUCCCUGCCUUCCCCAGGUCCACAGCUACUGCAACCUGCUAAGGAGUCCAGUUCAACAGUCCAGCAAUCUUGCCAUUAUCCAAGACUUCCAGAAAAACCACAUGGGUCUCAUAAAGAUGACGCAGUGCGAAUGGAAACACCCCCGGGA